UAAUGUAUGCGCUGGCCACUGUCCUAUCCGAUUUCCGUAUUUAAUUAAAAUCUGAACAAAAACACGAGUCCCCUUAUUAGCCGGUAACAAAGCUGACUUUCGUGCCAUCUUUGAAACCACAUAGCAAAGAGAAACGAGUCGCGUGCGUAUAUGUGAUCGUAUGAUCGUGUGAUCCGGCACCUUAUAUCGAAGUGAGCAUAAUGAAUUUUAGAUAGAUCAAAUAACGUGUCUGCACUCCAAUCAUGGACAUUCGUUCGAAUAGUAAAAUAUCAUAUCUCGUUGAAAUAUACGCGACUGAUCGUGCUCGAUUAUUUACACGCAAGCAUAAUACUCGUAUUAAUAACCUCAAAUAUCAGAACUGCGCGUAGUACCUUUGUUAACUUUCGCGUUAAUUAUUCGUGGGACAACGAACACGACUCAUGCUCAUGUAUUUCUGAAUUAACGUGCUUGUAAAUUUUCUACUGGCUGUAUAAAUCUUAUCAACAAAUUGCAAUUAUGAAGCUUGCACGAAAUUAUCCGAUGAUCAUACAUACCUAUUUUUCCCGCCUUUUUUGACAGCACACCAAUUACGUGAAUAUUUGACUGAUCAUACGUUGAUCGUUGACAAAGUUAUAUUUGUUACUGCGAUUAAUAACAUUUCACGGUAUCAUUUAUCAAGAGCUUGACAAAAAAAAUGAAUUAUGUUAAAAAAUAUAUCUAUGUACUUCGUAUACAUUGGAUUACUGAUGAGAAUAAAGCGGUAAAGUGGUCGGCGGUUGACCGCUGCGCGACCAAACUUUACCCAUUCGUUGCACGACAAGUUAUCCACCUUUCGAAGCGGCGCGAGUUUUCCGUGGCGAGCAGGAACAGCGCUUCUCUCAGUCUGGUCGGGAUCCCGGGGAAUGAUUCAUGCAAAUAACAUUUGUGAUAGCCGAACGUAAUUUUUGUGGGAAUGCCGCGCCUCGAGUCUAGCAGUCUGGCCAACCGAGGAUGUAGCCAAUUGCCGCGAAAGAUUCGAUGUGAUGUCAGCCUUUCUAAAUGGCCCACGAACUCGGCCUGCUUCAGCAACUGGCGAAUGUGACCCUGGAUUCGCGCAAUUACAUCUCUUAUAUCUCCUACAUUUAAUCUUUUCUAACGAUAUAUAUUAUACGAUAUUAUAUUAUAACGAAAAUUCAUUCUAUAUGUAUCAACAACUCUUAAAUUGUUAUUUGCAGAUCUUCUCAUCCAAGAGAAAAGAAAUCUUGUGAAAAUGAAAGGAACAAAUUAUUAAUCUCUCGUUAUCGAUCGGCUCGAUAAAUAUAUUCCUUCGUUAAUCGAGGAAAGGGAAUCAACGAAGUGAGAAUGAGCAAGUGUAGCGAUCGAGGAAACGAGAAUAUCGAGGAGAUGCGAGCGUAAAAAGUAAAAGGAUCCGUACCUCCUUCUCGAGACCUUGGAUGUCAUUGACCGCGAGGCCGAUCAUCAAGUUCAUCAGGACUAUACUAGCGAGCAUGACGAAAGCAAGGAACACGACCCUGCUCGUGGCUGUUAGGAAGGAACUCCCAUUCUUCUCGUCCGAGAACAGAUCCCCGUACUCGUACUCACCCAUCAUCAUUACCACGGUCUUCACGACGGCCCUCCAGGAAUUGCGAAACUGGUCGUUCCCGUGGAACAAAACGGCGAAGCUGAACGCGAAUCCGACAAUCAGGCAGACGAACGCUAGGAGAACCUGAAAGGAAAUAAAAAGCCCCAGAUGCACGUUGUUAUAAUCGCGGGAGAGGGUGGUAGGGCUGCGCGAAGUGGUAGGGGUAGGCAAGUGGGUCCUGAUGGGAGCCGUAUCACCGACCAGACAUUUAGAACCUUGCUUCUUCCUCUCCCUCCCCUCCCUUUCUCUUUAGCUUUUCAUUUCUAACGAUAUUCACCGAAGGGAAGAGCUCGUCGCUCUCUUAUACCUCUCGUUUCGGCUAAAUGCGGAUCUUUUUCCGUCAUACAGACGGAAUUAAAAAAAAAAAAAAAGAGAGAGAAGAAGAAGAAAAAGAAAAAAGCCUCCCUCGACAUUAAAUCAGGGUUAACGUUACCCUCUCCCUCCCCUGUUGAAAAAAAAACGGUGUUCUUACGGUGUCGAAUGUGGCUGCUUUUUAUUCGCGCCCGUUUAACCGCGCCCGACUCGACGCGCUUUAACGAGGGAAAUUGGGAGGUUCUUCCCCCUCCCAAACGGGGGAUUCCUCGUUACUUUUUUCCUUUGUUGCCCCUCCAUUCGAUCCGUGGUUGGGAUGGGACGGGGAGGAAGAGGGAUUAUUAUUAUUACUCGCAUCGCGAGCGGCAAAUCAUCGUGCUUGAUUACUCACUGACCUUCAGAAUAUUCUUCAGCACCGUGGAGAACAUGAGCGCAUAAUUCCCGCACAUUGGGAGGCGACCGAUUAACAACAUCAUUUGCAUCCAGGCAACAAGGAUCGCCAGGCUGAUGGUGUGCAAGAUCCACUGCGGGGGGUGACGGGCGUUCAAUCCUUCUUCCCCUGACGAGGUCGUGAUUCCAUGAUCUUCGUUCAUUGAAAUGGUGAACGAUAUGACGGAGCAUGCGAACGACAACCACGUCUCUAAUUGUCUCAAAUAAUAUCUAUAACGUGUGUUUCAUUUUCAAAUAUCAUUAAGGCUCCAUCAACACCUGAAUCGUGUAAUGAAGGAAGAUGAUCGUCGAACAGGAAGCGAGGAUCCUUCGUAACGGGGUGCAAUCAGUCUGGUGGUACUGUAUCGUUAUGGAGUAACCAGACAGGGAAAGGACCAGCAGGGCGUGGAUAAAGACGAGAGUAAAGAAGAACACUCUCAGCUUGGACCACUUCAGCCAGAGGAACGUUUCCACCAGCGGAUGUUGCAGUAUCGUCAAUUGUUCCACGCUCGAGGCUGCUGCAAUAAGGGACGUAACUACUCCCAUUUGCAGCUCCCCUUUCGGCGCUAGCACGUUGAAGUCAACGACGAUCUUUGAACAGAUUGCAGUGAAAGAGGACGGAAAACAUUGUUUGGGACAUGUUUGGAAAGAGUAAACCGCACCGGUUGGAGAGUUACCUGAGAAUUUCUGUUGCAAUUCAUUUUAACGCAAGAAUCGAGAAUAUCGUUGAGGAACAGGACAGGUGUCGGUAUGUGGGCGAAUAUCGCGUCGAUGACGCUAACUCCAGUCCUGGUUUUCGCGGCUAAAUUUCCACCAUGAUCGAUCAAUAUCUCAACGCAUUUGGAAUUUCCUUGGUAAGAUGCUCUGUGUAAUGGCGUUCGAUCAAUCUGUAUGGAAAUGCAAGGAACGAAGAACGAGGAAGAAGAGGAAGAACAAUUAUAUAUUGAAAGAAUCGUUGGAAAUGUUAAUAUGAAAAGGGAGGGAAAAAUAUAUAUACGUUAUCUCGAAUAUCGAUUUGAUGAGAAGAUAUGCUCUCUAGAAGGAUCGAAAGUAUCUCUGGGUUACCCGCGUUGGCAGCUAGAUGAAGAGGAGUACUUCCUGUGCUUUUGCAUUGAUAAAGAGGACAUGCACCACCGUUCAGUAACCUUCUCGUUGCCAAGAGACUUCCUAGCAAGACUGCAGAAUGUAAUGCAGUAGUAUCUGUACUUUCAGGAAAAGAAAAAAAAGGAAAAGAUUCUCAUUAAUUCGUUCGUAAUUAUUUCAAUGUUUCAUAUAUAAUACCUGUAUCAGGAUGAACGACGUUAAUAGACACUUUUGCGGAUACAAGGAUCUCGAUGAUGCAGUUAUAUUUGGAAAUCUCGAUCGAGUCUUCUUUCUCAACUUUGGACCCUGCCAAAAGUAACGGCGUGAUGCCACGAUCGUCUCUAACGUUCACGUCGGCCCCAGCGUCUACCAACAUCUUCACCACCUCGGGAUGAUUGUUCUUCACCGCUUGGUGCAUCGCCGUUCUUCCCCAACACUCUGGCGUAGGCAGCUAAAAAAACAGCAAUUCGAUUCUCGCUUCAGGCGGCAAUAAAUUCAUUAGGAUAUCGCGUUCACGAACUAACGUUUCGACCAAUGUUGAGCGAACUCGAACCAGGGAUUUUCUUGUAACAAGCCUCUAUCCCGACCCUGUUUUCCGUGUAAGCCCCGUGCUCCAACAGCCAAUUCACCACCUCGUAAUUUCCACGGUGGGCCGCGUGAAACAGCGCGCAUCUUCCAAUCUUGUCCGUGGCGUUGAUAUCGGCCCCACUUUUGUAGAACAAAUCCAACAGCUCGAUCUCACCCUGCCAAGCCGCCAAUUGAACGGCAGUCACGUAAAACACGCCCACCGGUUUCAGAAAUUUUUUAUCGAAUUUCUCGGUGAAGAUCCGCAUCGCCGUUUCCACGUCGCCAUUUUCGAUCGACGCGAUCAACCUCGACCGAUCGUCAUCGCCCGCACUCAUCUUAUUAUUGUAUUCCAGAUCCACUCUUUCCAAUGCGCGCAUCACCGGUUUAACGAGCUCCUUUUGUACCGACGCUGUUAUCGACAACGGUUAGAUAUUGCACAAUCACAGGAUGUGGUCAAUCACAAAUCUACACUCUGUAUACCAUUCUCGCUCUUAACGAAAUAUUAUAAGCCUCGUUAUAAAUAGGAGAUAAUUAAAUUUCGCACUUUCGAUUCGAUCUCGAAGAGAAUCGCGACAAACAAGCUUUGCAUCGACAAGCCUUGAUAAACUGAUAAAUUACGAAAAAAGAAGAAGCGAUCAUUUCUCAAAAUUCAGCUUAUUCACUUUCCCAUAUUUCUUUUUCCAUCGCUCCAACGCUAUCUCACCCCAAGCUCGAGUUCUCAACGCGUGUAUAACCGGUACAGCUCCGUUCGGUUGCAUUCCAAUUGCAGCAGCUACAUCCGCCCCGUUAUACGCGCGAGUAUAAUCGUCUCUGCCCGCGUUGAAUACUCAUGAACAGCCCUGUUACUUGGGUAUGCGCUUUCGAUAACGAAUCUGUCAACAAUGGAUAACGGGAUCGGUUCGAGCAUUCGAUUCAUUGGUCGAAGAAGUCGGACCUCUCGACUCCUCCUCGGGACCGUUACGGAUAUAAUAUACCUGGCUGGACGCGCACACAAUCAUCGUGAGACACUUUCGAAUCUCGCCGCAAGUUCAGGUGCACACAUCCACGCGUACAGAUGCACGGAGGACGAGCACGCGCGCACACGUACGAGAUACCAGUUUUCGAAGCCGGGGCGACCUUAACACGGGUUUCUCGCACGCGCGCACACACACGCGACGCCGGCACGUUUCACAACACACGUUCGCGCGCUCAAUCAACUAGAGAGAAUCGCGUUACCUUGCAGAACGCGGGCCCAGUACGCGCUUGACCACGCUGUCGAGAGGAGGCUGUUCGACGCACCAGUUCCACGGAGAAGAUCUCGAUAUGCCCAACUGUCCGAAGUGCGACAAACCGGUCUAUUUCGGUGAGUGGAGAGAGCAGAGUUGGCCGUCGGGAAAGUAAUAUUAAAAAAAAUUUCGAAUAAAGUUAUUUGAAUAAAUGAUGCUCGCUCGUAACGUUCAGCUCGUUAUAUACGCUUUGGUAUUGCCAAUUGUUUACGAUUAUUCUUAUUACGUCUUGAACAAUCAAUUAUCGAAGUAACUUUAUUCGUUAAGUUCAACUAUUAAAUUUUAAACGGCGGAGAGAGAUCGUUCGAAUCACUUUCGGUAUCGAUAGCAAGAUGUAUUCGAGAGAUCGCUUUGAAACGUAUUGCGAAGGAAAUAGAAAGUAGGAAAUAAAAAUUGAGAUGAUAAACGACACUUUAUUUGUUUAAUUGGUGGCGAAGAGCGAGAAUCUAGUUUUAAUUUUGCUACAAUUUUAUUAUUGGAGUAUAGGUAUAUUUGGUCUUCUUAUAUUGAAAUAUCUUAUCUAGGAUGUUUUUUUUAUUUUUUUUUCAAGAUAUAUAUUUCAUAUAUAUGUUUUUUUAUCUCUCGAACAGAGUUACGAAGUUUCAUAUAUAUAUAUUUGUAUAUAUAUAUAUAUAUAUAUAUAUAUAUAUAUAUUUGUAUUUUAAUCCGGUAAAAAUGGAUAAAGAAAAUGAUAAAAUUGAUUUCAGAUUUUAAAAGAUAUUGGAUGUCUGGAAAUGCUAGAUUAUUACAUUUUAAUUAAGGAGAUUAAUGGAAUCCUGUUAAAGUAUCACAAAGUAAAAAAUUCGUUUGUUGGAAUAUUUCUUCCCCCCUUUUUUCUUUUUUGUUUUUAUUCCGAUAUUGACAACACUGCAGCAAUUUUUUCCUAUUGGAUCUAAUAACGUUCUCUGUGUUAUUAAUUCAAAUUUUAUGAUCAUAUCGCGACGAUUGGAUCUCUCGUUCUUAGAUAUAUAUCGUUACGAGUGAAACGAAAGAAGUAACGAAUUAACGCAAAAUUAAAAAAAAAAAAAAAGAAAAGGAUUUUAGAAUAUUAUCGAGAUGCUAAAAAUAUAUUUACAUAAUGUACUAUCAUUUCAAAUUACAUUUUUAUGUUCUGUUUCCAAGCGCCCACUAAAAUUAUCGCUAUAUAUGAAUCAUAAAGUUUGAACUAAUACUUUAAAUAAAACUACGGAAAACGUUAUUAGUUACAUACAGUCGAAAUGAAAAAAAAUUGUUACGAUUACGGAGAAAAAAUUUUUAUGUAAUCACUUCACUGUCACUUUGAAAAUUAGACUCGGCCAUUUAUUAUUCCAUAUUAUAUUAUUCAUUACUGGAAAAAAAAAAAAAGAAGGAAAAAAAUUUAUUUCGAAAAAAUAUCACUUGUUUCCAUUUGUUAAUUUUAUCUUUGAUCGCAUUUAAUUACCGCAUAAAUCCAGAUAUUUUUCGAUCAGAAUUAACUUUAUAUUUUUAUCAUGUUUCACGGUUCGUGAAACGAAGUUGGAAUAUCUACGGCAUUGGAUAUGUAGUUCAUAGAUUUAUACUCGCUUAAUAUUCCGCUAUUUUGCAUACUUUUUCCGUGGGAUGAUUACGUUCACGAGGAAACAUAUUAUCGACUAAUCGAUAAUAAUAAACAUCGGCCUCGUGAAAUCUCUCCGCUCCUUCCUCUCCUUCAUCCUCGUGAAAUUCGCGCAUCCUGCUGCGGGAAAUUCGCGUCACGACUGGUUUCAUGAUGAUGAUUCGCGAAUGAAAAUGACGACACCACAUGAUGUCAUUUCGUUGCGUUCCUCGUGGUCCACCUUGACAAACAUUACGUCAACCUCGUCCUCGCAGUAGGAAUACAGAGAUCGUAACACGAGACACUAAGGAAGGAAAUUUUAUACAAUGAAACGUAUCGAGUGUACGAUCGAGCUGUAUACUUAUAUACGCGCUCUCGAGGCAGUGGAAUCAGUUUCGAAAUUGGUUUCUUCCGAUAGAUAGAUAGAUAGAAUUGAUUUUUAAUUUUCGCAGAUGAUCGUUGGAACGUUGUUGUGUUUAUGGCUCAGCUUACAGGCAAUGUCUAUUUCGAUGUUGUGUUGUACUCUUGAUAAUGUGAUAAUGUUGACGACUAUCAAGAAAAAGUAUUUUAUCGUGUUUAUUGCCGUUGGAACGUUGAGUCGAAAAUUGUGAAACGUUUUCGAAAGUUACGAUAAUGUUUCACCGUUUAUUGUACGGUAUCUCUAAAAUUACCAUGGAACGAAUUAUGCAGUUAUUAUUGUCAAGGCGAUUUUGGGUCGUGAAUAUCGUGUAAGCGUUUUGUUAUCAUCGAAACUCGCUAAACGAUUCUCAUUUUUACGAUAGAAUAUUCAACGAUUUUACGACGAUCCUUUUCCUUUGUCUUUCAGUUUUUUCUUAAAUACUGAUUAUUACGACGUUGUACGGUGAAAUUAGAGAUAUUGCGUUAAUUAGAAUUAGAUGCUAUUCAUACUUUUUCACGGCGGGUUUUAAAUUGUUUUCGAAAACUUCAAAUCAAUUUCUAAAUUACAAUAAUCAGGAUUGAGGAUUUUGUAAGAAGACAUAGAUAAAAAAGUGAAUAAAUUGCGUGCUUUUUGCAAAUCAACUCCAAAUUUGAAAAUUAUUAAAAUUUAAAACCAAGAUACCAUUCUAAACAAAUGUAUAAAGCAUUAUUUUAAUACAUUUAAAAUAUGGAAAAUCUUUGAAGGAUCAGAUAGAAGUCAAAUCAAAUGUUGAUAAAUAUUUCGAGUCCCCUAUGAUCCUCUAUCGCCAUUUCUGUUUCUAUUUCUCUUCGUCAAAUUUAAAAUUGCCUAACAUCUAAUUUUUCCCUUCUUUAUUAAACUUCUCCUAAUUUCCCUUAAAAUAUCCCCCUCGAAUCAGCCCCUCCCAAGAAGAUUCUCCAAUUCUCCCCCCAAAAAAAGAAAGAAAGAAAUACAACUCGACCCUCGAUACUCCCUCCUCUUAUCGCGGCCGUUUUUUCGCGAGGGAUCCUGGUUAGCCGUGGCGAUAAACUUAUCAUCGGCCAAUCACCGGCUCGCGCUUCCCCUCGGCCGGCCAGAUAAACGCGAGAACGGAUAGCUCGUUCCCUUCGGGCGGCCGAUGCUCCAUGCUCGCCCAGAGCCAUCGCAUUCAGGGAGGUUCGCUUUUAAUUGCGCGCUUCCUCUUUCGAGCGGACCUUUUAGACGGCCCGUUAAAGCACUAUUAGCGCUGAAAGAGGAUUUUUCUGAAUACGCGAGACCCGGUCGACGGCGAUGCCACGUAUAUGAUGGAAGGGGCUUUCAGAGAUCGGGCCAAGUAGGUGCGCGAAAAAUGGAUGCAACCGGGAGAAUUAGAGGGACGACACGUGUAUCGCGCGGAAAAAGAGGAACAGUGUAUUGUGUACGUUUUUAAGGGGUGGAGGGGAGAGAGUGGGUCAUCGACCUCUGACCGGGCCCCGUUUAGGAGGACCCCUUCGGGGAGAGACCUUCCUUCUCUUCAAUUAAUUAACUCGAGGGAUCAGUUUCGUGUUUUCCUCGAUUUUCACUCGUGAAUCAGAACUUCAGAGAUCGUUUCAGGGACGAAUUCGUGUUGGCUUUUCUCAAAGUAAAUAUAUUUAUUCAGCUACAGAUUUAAUUAUGUUUCUAUUCUAUGUAAAAAAAAAUAGCGCGAGUGUGUGAUCCACACUCGUGUCAUCGAGAAAUACGUGCAAUAAAAUCGAAGAUUAAAUUGACGACCUCGAUCUUACGUAACGGACCAUAAAACGGUAUUCAUAGAGUAUUACAUUACUUUUAAAUCGCGAGCUACGAAGCAAGUUACGUUUUUCAUUUCAACGUUUCAUCGUUGGAAAAGAAUUCCAAUCUUUGGAAUAGUCGAUCUUUGAAUUCAAUUAUAUAUAAUCACCGCGACGAGCAGUGCAGUAAGCAAAGUAACUUUUGAAGAAGGCCCCGAUCUCCUCUUCUCGCUUCGACUUCGAGUGGGUGGCUAUUCGUACUCCACAGCUUUUCGACUCCUGUUUUCUUUGUUUCCGUUUGCGGGCAUUCUACGCCACCGCAAAAGAUAGAAGACUUUUUUCAAGACUGCUCUUUGAGAGACUGGGGGGAGGGAUACGCUUUCAAAUAAAUUAGGUUCAAACGAUUUCGUGGCGUUUGGCAAAUUCGACGAAUUUCCUUUUUUUUUUUUUUACGAAUAUUUAAACAAAAGUUGGAAAAGUAGGAGGAGAGCGACCCUUUCCACGCGACUGAUUUCGAUUCAAUUGAAUGAAACUGCUCGACAAAGACAAAGAAAGAUUUCUCGAAUUCCUGUCACGAUCUCACGAUUCGUUAGUUGGUAGAGAAAGAGAGCAAAGAAGUCUUCCACGAAAUAUCAAGAUUCUACGAAAUGUGAUACGUAGAGUAAGUAUUCUUUCUGUAAUGGCGGACGAAUUGGGGAAUGAAUGCCAUCAUUGUCACUGUUUUCGAGUUUCAAAGCCUUCUUGUGUUCCAACACGACUACUGGGUAGUUUAGAUCUUUAACUUCUCCAAUAUGAUAUAAUAUAAUAUAAUGCAAAGAAGAAGAAGAAAAAAGUGUACUCAUAUCGUACCUCGAGUAUCCCUAAACAACGGAGUUCAACAAGUUCCAAAAAUUACGAUUCCACGGAUCAUCUCUCGACCAUUCCUUAAAAAAAUACACGAAAAUAACUAUUUUCUCUUUCGGAAGCGGAUGGAUAGCGAACGCCUCUCGCAUAAAGAUCCCUCGUUAAUCCAUCGCGUGCGAGAGAAGGCGGCUAAAGAGGGUUCGUAGACAGGCCUCCUCUGUAACGAGCCGGGCAAAAAGUUUCUUGACUCUAUAUAUAUAUAUAUAUACACCAUCGCGGAUCCGCGACGGCCGAGGAGGAGGCAGAAGUGAAACCGAGUCACGUCGUUGCAUCGAGAGCAACAACAAUAAAGUGUCCAGCGGCGAGGAGAGCGACGACAAGACACAAGAGUGUAAGGGGGGAUGUAUCGGGUAAUAAUAAGAAGAACAGAGAGGAAACAGAGCCUUUCCUGGCCUCUCCGUUGGAUAAGAGAGAGAGAGAGAGAGAGAAGGGGGAGAAGGAGGGAUGAUACGUCAGAUCGGCAGUUUGAAAGAGUCGGCAAGAAAAGUGAGUAGCAGGAAAGGGGGAGGAGGGAUGGGCGGGUGGAGAAUGGUCUAGCGAGGAAAUAAAGAGAAAGAAGAAAAGAGGGGGGAGAGGGAAGCAGGGAAAGACAGCGGGGGAUGAUGUUCCAAGCCUAUGCAAUCAGCAGCCGCCGAUUGUUUGGCGCCCGGGCGCAACGAUCCGUGCACACCACUGUCUGCCUUUUCGCGCUGCCACUGCACACCACCAAUGCUUGACGAUUAUGCACUCGCUUCUCCGCCGCCAGAUAAUUAGGAGUUAAUUAACUAAUGGCCCUUUAUGCGUACCCUUCUUGCUCCACGGCUCCUCUCUUUCCUUCAUCCUUGCCUUCACCAUUCUGCCACCGCGCCGCUGCCCAUCUCUCUCUCUCUCUCUUUCUUCUCCACCUUCUUCCACGACUUCCCUUCUCCCUCGCGCAAGCAACCACUCCUCCUCUUUCGCUCUCUCGCGGUCUUUUCGAACAUCCCCCUCGACCCUCCUCCUCGACCACCGGUUGGUUCCCGACGUCGACCCCUUUAGACUCGUCCCCGUGCCUCUCUCUCUCUCUCCUCGUCAUUUUCCAAUUCCCCUCGCUGGCACCAGCGUCCUUUGUGCUCCUCCUUAGACACGGAGGAACGUUUGAAUGCCAACCACCGGGCCGCCACCGGUCCGUGGCUUUUUUUUCUCUUUUUUUUGUCUUCCCCGCGAGGUUUGAUAUGUCGUAAUGGCAUGACGCAUCGCGACGCAUCCAAGGAAAAGAAGAAGGAGAUGAAGAAGAGGGGAAAAAAAGGGCCACACUCGCUCCUCUGAUUUCGCGGCCUUUUGUCGAGCCGAGACCGAAACGCUACGCGCGUGCAAUACGUAAUCCGCUAGGAAAAAAAUGCUCGUUUCGAGGAUCCGAGGAUCGUGUACGCGAAUAUGCGCGCAGAGGCGGCCUAAAAGCGAUCGCGAUUGAAAGGAAAAUCGCGCCACUCGAAACCUUUCAAACCUCCCCCCCUGAUCGAGUAACAAAACCGGCUCCCCCCUCCCACUCUCCGAUCCUUCUCGAUUAAUCAACCUUGUGCGUCCCCGUGCGAUGAUGACGCGCGACAAAAGAGGACGCUUGUCUGCGCCAGCUUCUUUCUCUCCAGGAAUCCCUGGAUCAUCGGUUAUCAUGGCGCUGGAAAUCGCUCGCAUCGGGGAAUUCGUCGACCGCGACAAUGCGGUCGAGCCGCGUGCGAUAUUUCGUAAAAAAAGAAAGAGAAAGGAAGGAAAAGGGAAGAAAAAAGGCGGGACGACGUUGGCGCGCUUUGCAAGGGGAAAAGAUGGCCCACAGGGGCGCCUCGGGUUCGCGCCUUCCGUGAAUGAGCCUCGCGUUCGAUCGCCUCCGCCGGGAAUCCGCCAUUCAAUUUUAUAAUUACGAAAUUGCUAAUGGAGCAGCGACGCUCCUCGUCCCGCUUGGGGACGCUUCUGCAUUUUCUUUCGGCGAGAGAGAACGCGCGAGCGGAACCUCGAGCGUGUGUCUUAUUGUUCUUCGAGGUGACAGUGGAUGGGAGGUUGGAUUUCGAUUAAAUAAUUUCUUCCAUUUUCUUUUUUUCUUUUUUCUCAAUUCCUCAAGCUUUCGAAUUUUUCUUUACUUCUUUAAUAAUUAGCUUUUCCCUCUAUCAAGUUUCGUUUUAGUCCACUUCGAUGUUUAUUAAAUAAUAGCAGGUAUAUCGUGCUUAUAAAAAAUUGUUUCAAAUUUGUAAGACUUGAUAGGUAGAUUAUAUCGUUCGUCGUUCGUUGAACAAUUUAAGAAUCGAAGAGUUAUUUUGCGAUUUGUUUCCUUUUAAUAUCCUCGUUAUCUGAUCUUGGAAAUAUUGGCAAUUGCUUUAUAAAAAGAAAAAAGAUUUUAGAGAAUACGUGGACGUAAAUAAAUUUAAUUAAUGAAACAUUAAAAUACGGGGCGACAGAAUUUCUUGGUUACCUAAUAAAGAAUUAACCUUUGUGGUUUCGAAAUGCGCAGUAAAGAGCAAAGUAUAGGUGCAUCGCGAUAAGCGAUAAUUCCGCGACACGUAUACUCAGUGCGAUAAUCGUUAUCCGAUCGCGAAACUUAUUAUUACGUAAUCCCUCGUUUCGUUUGCCAACGGAACACCGCCACCGCCGUUUGCACCGGUUUAUACCGAAGUCAAGAGGGUUGAUUGAACUUAUUUCAGGCUUCUUUAUCGGGAACGCAGCCGUAUAUGGCUUUAAGUGGAUUGAGGCCACUCGAAUAAGCCUGAUCGAACGUAAUAAUUUCCCCGUUUCCAUUUCACCCACUCGGUGAAUCACUCGGUUCGUAGACACGGUGACAUCGAAAGCGGACAAUCGACUUACAUCGACACGAAACGUGAAUACGUGAUUAUAAUGUUUCGCUCGAGUCCGUUCAAUGAUUUUUGUUUUUGCCUAUUUACGUUACAGCCGAAAGGAAAACAUCGUUGGGCAAGGAUUGGCAUGGAUCGUGUUUACGUUGCGAAAAAUGUAACAA